rnacentral:tRNA from 1 species
AACCUCAAAGGUUUUUUAAAAAGAAUUUUCUAGUCUAAGAAAGACGCUUAUCUUGAAAAUAAGAAAUUAGUAGCUUUACUAGAAAAUUU